rnacentral:rRNA from 1 species
CGGGUGAGUAACAUGUAUCCAACCUGCCGUCUACUCUUGGACAGCCUUCUGAAAGGAAGAUUAAUACAAGAUGGCAUCAUGAGUUCACAUGUUCACAUGAUUAAAGGUAUUCCGGUAGACGAUGGGGAUGCGUUCCAUUAGAUAGUAGGCGGGGUAACGGCCCACCUAGUCUUCGAUGGAUAGGGGUUCUGAGAGGAAGGUCCCCCACAUUGGAACUGAGACACGGUCCAA